rnacentral:lncRNA from 1 species
AAGACUCUCUUCCGCAGAUGUUACACAAAAUGGAUGACCGGUCACUGAUUAUAGAAGUGAGGCAAUACCUGCAACAUAAGAGGUAUUUGAUAUUCUUUGAUGAUGUAUGGCAACAAGAUUUCUCUGACCAGGUUGAAUUUGCGAUGCCUAAAAACAAUAAAGGUAGUAGGAUCAUAAUCACCACUAGAAUGAUGCAAGUUGCGGAUUUUUUCAAAAAAUCCUUUCUAGUAUAUGUUCACAACCUGCAACUUUUGCCUCCAAACAAAGCAUGGGAACUUUACUGCAAGAAGGUGUUUGGAUUUGAACUUGGUGGGAAUUGUCCAUCGGAGCUUCAGGAUGUAUCGAAAGAAAUUGUUCGAAAAUGCAAGCAGCUUCC